CUUCAUGCACACUCUGGAUUACAAGAUCUCAGAUCCUCUUUAUGUGGGCUCCCUCUGCAGUUACCCAGCACCUGCUUUGUCUAAAAUGCUACACACUUAAGAAACUUGCUUUUCACCAGAAGGCUGCAUGCAGUCUCCUCCAGAGCUCCAUGGGACUUGUUUCAUUUUGCAGGAAUCCCUGCAGCCCUCCCUCCUCUCCCACAAGGCUGCUUCUACAUCAUCUGCUGGCUAAAGGUGGUUUCUGGAUCUAGCUUCUCAGAACCCUCACUUGACAGCCUUAGUGCUCCUGCAGAAGUGUUAAGACCAACAAAGAAAAUCUGGCCAACAAGCUCAAGCAAGCAGAACACUCACCCCUCUGUCAUAGCUGUCUGCUCGCUCCACCUUCCAUGAGAGAUUUUCAAUUUCAGCUUCCAGCUGGGCCUGCUGGUAUUCAAACUGCAAAGAGCAAAAUAAGAGUCAUCAACACAAAACUAGUUUAGUGCAGCAGUUUCUUUACACUUGAGGAGCAGACAAAUGUGUCCCGAUGACAGCAGUGCUGGCAGAGCAGGUCACAAGAUGCUCUCAUAAGUAGCUCUGCAGGCAGAGUGAAGGGACUGUUAACCACUGCUGGGAGCAGCAACUUGUUCCACAGGCACAGUCAGAUCCAGAAGAGAACAUCUAUCCACAGCCUUAGAGAACACCUGAUGCCAUGAAGAAAGAUUCUAUAACAGGUUUUACAGGACAGCUGAGUCAAAGAAAAAACUCUUCCCUGAAUUCAAGGUUAUUUUUGUACUUUUUCAGCCCAUGAGAUGCACCAAGCCAGCAAGGAACUUAGAGCAGGAAUAAAAAGCAAAGCUACACCCUGAUCCAAGGAAAAGCUCUCCUCCAGCAGCUCUUCACAGGAAAUAUGGCCCACAGCAUUGUGAUAAAUCUUACCAAGAAAUAAAUGCACACUUCCAGCCUCAAAACAUUCUGGAUAAAUGGCUUGUUAGUGAAAGUGCAGUGAAGUCCCCUGGGAAAAUAAUGUAAUGUAUAAGAGGACAGAGCUGCUGGUCGACUUGAAGUGAAGAAGAAAGGUGCAAUCCCACCUAUUUAUCCUGUCCUUACCUCAAAUUCAGGACACAAAUUUCAGACACUGCCCAGCUCUGGAAUUCAAUCCAGCAUGCUGCCAGAUACACCCUGAAAAGUUAUGAGCAAAAAAAGAGCAGAGCAUCUUACCAGCUUCUUUCUGGGCCCAGACUCCAUGUAGUAGGCAUAUGGAUAUGUGUACUGCAGGGUGUAACGACACUGUCCAAGAGUGGGAGGAAGAGAGAGAAAAAGACAGGAGUCUCAGUCUUGGAAGUCAGCACAGUCAUAUUUAUGCAAUCACUACAGGCUAAGAAGCUACACCUGACAACUGGAGACUUCCUGGUAGAAUUUCCUACACCUUUCCUGGAAGAAUUUGUGCAGGACUGUGUAUUGUAGAGUAUGACUUCACAGAGGUCACUUCUAGAUGAUAUUUGGUUUGUCCAUGUCCUACACCAGAAGUACUGUCCCACAAAACCACAACUCUUAAAUUUCCUUCCUUACUUGGUGUUAUGAAUUUAGCAUUCUGGCAUGUGUUCUCUUCACUGUGCCAAACAAGAGACAAUUACUCACCUUUGCAAGUAGUUUUGCAGCAUUCUGUAGAUAUUGCCAAUCUAUCCAUGUUCCCAAGUUGUUCAUAACUCUUUCUUGUAUUUUUUCCUGGAUUCGUUGGUAUGUCUGUGCCUCCAGCUGUAGGCUUUUAUUGUGAUUCUCCCACUGCAAGAGGUGGGAAGACAGGGAAAGGAAAAAAACAGCAUGAGAACAGACUACUACUGCUGUAAAAGCACAAGCUCUAGCAAGCAGAAAUUGGAGUGGGGCAGGAGUCCAGCAAGGCAAGACAUGCUGUGGGAAAGAAUGGCAAGGCAGCACCUCCAGUAGCAAGUGGCAGAGGCUGCAGACAACAGACUGACAGCAGCAAGACCAGGGAGCAAACCCAGCUCCUCCGAGUGGGAAUGCCCUCUGGUCACACAGUGACCUCGUGUCUAACAAGGGGGAAAGUCACGGGGAUUCCUCUACUCAAAGGAUUUCUAUAGGAAGGUCAAGAGAUUAAAUUAACAUUUGACAUGGGCUCAGUGAACUCCAGUAUCCAUGUGCACAUUGUAAACAUGGCUAUUUCCCAAAGCCUGUUGGUCUGGAGAGCCAGGAAUGAAGACAUUUAUUUUAUGACAGGACUUGGCUCAUGCUGUGGAGAAUAAACUCAUUUUAAUGGAGAAGCUGAAACGCAGCAGUAUUUAACCUCUACCACAUUCUCUUCUAGAGAUACUGCUGUAGAGUUGCUCUGCAUGGCCAGGUGCAUGGAGCCUGCUGUGUGGACAGACAUGCUUUUAAAAAUGUGAUUACAUGAAAUUUUAGUAAAAACUUUGCUACAGCCAAUGGAGCUUUGAACGUGGUAAAUUUAUUCAGUUUUUAUCUGUAUAAAGAUGUACUGCAAGGAACAGAAGUUCCCCAGUCCUGAAAGGAAAUGAUUGGAGCAAUAUCUAUCUACUGCAGCAGCACUCAGCCUGCAGGUACAUAGUACAGUGGCACACAGGUAAUACUGAUUUUCUCCAGCACAAGGGAAUAUAGGAGUGAAUACAAAUUGCUUUGGAUAUGACAUCACUGGUUUGCAUGGGACUUUCAGGGCAGGAUUUUGAGUGAUAAACAACAGGGCCUGAAAAUUCUGCACAGAUUCUCUUUGGGCAGUUUCUUGCACGGAGAUUGCUGGCAAUGACCUUUGCACCAGGCAGGGAGCAUUAAAAGGCUACAGCAGCUCUGGCCAAGGAGAUGUCUCCUACCCUCUCAAAAUAGAACAAGUACUUCUUAAGGGCCUCCCUGGCCUGUGCUUGCUGACUCUGGUUUACAAUAUCAGGAUUCUCUUUGUACCGACUGCAUUCGUAGUACUCGCUGCCAUGAGUCUUCCAGUCUCCCAGA